AUUCUAGCACCCCGACCCCUACCUCAGCCCCCAACUCUAAAUAACUUCUUUCCACCUUGCUAAGAAUGCGAUGUUGUGAUUCACAUCAAGCUUUAGGAGGCUCCCCAUAUGUAGGGAACUGGGGUGAGGGGCAGGGCACGAGUCACUGUUCCAGGUUACGGAGCUUUGGUUAACACGGAGAGAAGCUACACAGAGACUCACACAGUAUGCAAAUACCUACGGAGAUACAUAAGGAAAGGCCCCGGCCUGGUUAAGGAAAAGGAGCCUAUAAAAGCUCUCCAGUAUGCAUUCUUAGAAACCAGAUAUACAAAGACAAGCUCUCUGCUUUCAAGAAGCUCUCAAUCUGAUCGAGGAGAGAAACAGGUAGCAAAUAAUGACAGCAGAGCGUGCAGAACUGGGAAGAAAGGACCCUGAAAAGUUAGCUGGUUCCAAGUGACCCUCCAAGGUAUGGAGAUGCUUUGGGGAGCUGGUGAGGGAGGCAUGGAGCAGACUGGGGAGUCCACGGAGGGGCCAAGGUGUCCCGGUGGGGCUUAUUAGAACCUGCCUGAAGGGAGGGUCUCCUAAGACACAAACCACCACUGUAAAUCAUGUAUUAGAAUUAUUCUCUAAUCUUUACUCUGAAAGGGGAAGAGUGCUGGAUUCAGAGCCCACCUCUGGGGAAGACAGGACCCUCUCCAAGGUGGCUUCCCUAGAAGCUACUACUUCUCCCUGGAGGGUGGAGAUAUUUGCUGGUCAAAGCAAGAA
rnacentral:antisense_RNA from 1 species